UUAUCCGGAUUCACUGGGUUUAAAGGGUGCGUAGGAGGGCAGGUAAGUCAGUGGUGAAAUCUCCAAGCUUAACUUGGAAACUGCCGUUGAUACUAUCUGUCUUGAAUACCGUGGAGGUGAGCGGAAUAUGUCAUGUAGCGGUGAAAUGCUUAGAUAUGACAUAGAACACCAAUUGCGAAGGCAGCUCGCUACACGAAUAUUGACUCUGAGGCACGAAAGCGUGGGGAUCAAACAGG
rnacentral:rRNA from 1 species